rnacentral:tRNA from 1 species
GGAAGGGUGCGUGAGUGGUUUAAACGGCCGGUCUUGAAAACCGGUGUGGGCCUUGCGCUCACCGUGAGUUCGAAUCUCACCCCUUCCGCCA